GCCGGGGUGGCGUAGUUGGUGGCGCGUCGGACUCAUAGGGCAGCCUUCUGGGCAAUCGUAUGACGUGCAAACCCCUUGCGGUGUCUGAGACAUCCGAAGGUCGCGGGUUCAAGCCCCGCUCCCGGCA
rnacentral:tRNA from 1 species